rnacentral:rRNA from 1 species
UGGGGGAUCUUGCGCUAAUGCGCGAAAGCGUGACGCAGCGACGCCGCGUGGGGGAUGAAGGCCCUCGGGUUGUAAACCCCUUUCGGCAGGGACGAAGCGAGAGUGACGGUACCUGCAGAAGAAGUCCCGGCUAACUACGUGCCAGCAGCCGCGGUAACACGUAGGGGACGAGCGUUGUCCGGAUUCAUUGGGCGUAAAGCGCGCGUAGGCGGCUCGGAAAGUCGGUCGUGAAAUGCCGGGGCUCAACCCCGGGACUGCGUCCGAUACUCCCGAGCUGGAGGCAGGUAGGGGAGAUCGGAAUUCCUGGUGUAGCGGUGAAAUGCGCAGAUAUCAGGAGGAACACCGGUGGCGAAGGCGGAUCUCUGGGCCUUGCCUGACGCUGAGGCGCGAAAGCUAGGGGAGCGAACAGGAUUAGAUACCCUGGUAGUCCUAGCCGUAAACGUUGGGUGCUAGGUGUGGGCGGAUAUCGACCCCGUCCGUGCCGAAGCUAACGCAUUAAGCACCCCGCCUGGGGAGUACGGCCGCAAGGCUAA